GUGGGGAAUUUUGGACAAUGGGCGAAAGCCUGAUCCAGCAAUGCCGCGUGCAGGAUGAAGGCCUUCGGGUUGUAAACUGCUUUUGUACGGAACGAAAAGCUUCGGGUUAAUACCCUGGAGCCAUGACGGUACCGUAAGAAUAAGCACCGGCUAACUACGUGCCAGCAGCCGCGGUAAUACGUAGGGUGCAAGCGUUAAUCGGAAUUACUGGGCGUAAAGCGUGCGCAGGCGGUUUUGUAAGACAGAGGUGCAAUCCCCGGGCUCAACCUGGGAACUGCCUUUGUGACUGCAAGGCUAGAGUACGGCAGAGGGGGAUGGAAUUCCGCGUGUAGCAGUGAAAUGCGUAGAUAUGCGGAGGAACACCGAUGGCGAAGGCAAUCCCCUGGGCCUGCACUGACGCUCAUGCACGAAAGCGUGGGGAGCAAACAGGAUUAGAAACCCGAGUAGUCC
rnacentral:rRNA from 1 species